CGACAAAGUGAGACUCUGUCUCAAAAAAAAAAAAAAAAAAAGCGUCAUGCUGGUGACUCUUGUCUUUUUAGGGCCAACGGUAUUUUUCUUCCAUCUGCCCCAGAUCCGGAUUUUAUCUCAACAUGCAUCCCGUGGUGUUGAAGAGUAGUUGCAGUCUGAAUUUCAGAGAGACUGAGUUGUGUUUGCAUUUGGAAAAGGGAGAUAAUGGUCAAUAGGAAUGGAUGAGGACAAAAUGAAAAUGGAUAUGAAAGUGCUUUGAAAACACUUUAUGCUUCAUGAGGCAUGUGCCUGCUGCAGAGCUCCCCAGGAUUCAUGGGAGUGCUCCUGCUAACCCCGAGUCAGGGCCAGCGCCAUAGCUGGGUGCCCACCACACGCUUCGUAUAAUGUUCCAUCACCUAUUGCUGCAGAACAAACUGGCCCCCAAACUCAGUGACUUCAAACAACUGUUUUAUUUUGCUCAUGAUUUGGUGGGUCAGGAAUUUGGAAAGAUCUUAGCUGGGCAAUUUGUCUAGGAUCUACAUGGUAUCCACUAAGACAGCUGCUAGAUGAUGGAGUUCCAAGAUGGUUUCUUCACUCACACGUUUGGCACCUCGGUGCUUCUUGGCCGCAGUCUCUACAUGGCUCGGGUUCCUCACAGCACGGCGGUUUCAGAGUAGUCAUACUUAGAUGGCAGCUGGCUUCCAAAAGCAAGUGUUCCAAGAGUGGAAAUCGAGUAUAAAUAUGGAUAUUUUUCUAACUCAGUCUAAGAAAUUACAAGAAAGGAAGAAUAAUUCAAACUUGUGUUGUAAUACUAAGCCUCAGAAAGUCACUCAACAAAGGGUGACUGGGUUGUCCUCCAACAUGAAGCAGUGCUGAGCGGGGACCACAGCAUCACUUCUGCCGUAGUCUACUAGUCAAAGCAGUUGCAGAGUUCAUCCAGAGUCAAGGAGGAACAGACACAGUCCUCACCUCUCAAUGGGAGGGACAUCCAAGAACUUGUAGCUGACUUUAAUCUGCCAUAUAUUUUUUAAAAUCUCAUUUAAUCUGUAUAAUAACACUAUGAAGUAGGUGUUACAGUCUCCAUUUUACUGAUGAGGUUUGACCAUGCCUUGUCCAAUGAGGUGUAAGGAGGAGUACUGUGUAACUUUUAAAGAUGUCCCUAUGACUCAAGGAUGUCAAAAAAUUUAAGUGUCCUUAAAGAAAGAGUUCUUUAUCUCUUCUGCUGAAUGCCAUGCAGAUGUGAUCACUGGCACUCAAGCAGCCAUUCUGAAACACGAGGGAGCAUGCUAAGGUGGAGGAGUAGUAAUACAGAUGGAGCCCCAGUCUUGACGAUCACGGAGGUGCCAUACCCGCCUUGGGCAGCUGCCUCUGGACUCCAUUUAAAAAUGCAUUGUGAAGACUGUUUCUCUAGCUGUGCAGCUGCAAGGUCACUAGACAGAUAAUCUGAAGUCGUAAAACAUGUUGUGCCUUAAAAAGUAAGAAAUAAUAUAAUGCAUGUCUCAAUUGAAUAACUGUCUUUGUUUCUCGCUUCUGUAAUAUGCUUCCCCCUGCACAGAUCUCCCCCCGCCCCACGAAAUGCUUAAAAGGUAGCUUGACUCUUUGUUCAGAGCUCAGUCCUUUGGAUGUUAAUCCAACUGGGUCGGUGCACCUAAAUAAUUAAAUAAUUGCUCCUCA
rnacentral:lncRNA from 1 species